UACCAGCACCCCCGAGUGGUCGGGACGAUUAUUGGGCCUAAAGCAUCCGUAGCCGGUCCUGCAAGUCUUCCGUUAAAUCCAGCUGCUCAACAGAUGGGCUGCGGGAGAUACUACAGGGCUAGGAGGCGGGAGAGGCAAGCGGUACUUUAUGGGUAGGGGUAAAAUCCGCUGAUCCAUAGAAGACCACCAGUGGCGAAGGCGGCUUGCCAGAACGCGCUCGACGGUGAGGGAUGAAGCUGGGGGAGCAAACCGG
rnacentral:rRNA from 1 species